rnacentral:rRNA from 1 species
ACGAACGCUGGCGGCGUGCCUAAUACCUGCAAGUAGAACGCACAGUUUAUACCGUAGCUUGCUACACCAUAGACUGUGAGUUGCGAACGGGUGAGUAACGCGUAGGUAACCUGCCUGGUAGCGGGGGAUAACUAUUGGAAACGAUAGCUAAUACCGCAUAAUAUUAAUUAUUGCAUGAUAAUUAAUUGAAAGGUGCAAUUGCACCACUACCAGAUGGACCUGCGUUGUAUUAGCUAGUAGGUGAGGUAACGGCUCACCUAGGCGACGAUACAUAGCCGACCUGAGAGGGUGAUCGGCCACACUGGGACUGAGACACGGCCCAGACUCCUACGGGAGGCAGCAGUAGGGAAUCUUCGGCAAUGGACGAAAGUCUGACCGAGCAACGCCGCGUGAGUGAAGAAGGGUUUCGGAUCGUAAAGCUCUGUUGUAAGAGAAGAACGGGUGUGAGAGUGGAAAGUUCACACUGUGACGGUAUCUUACCAGAAAGGGACGGCUAACUACGUG